CCUACGGGGGGCUGCAGUGGGGAAUCUUGCGCAAUGGCCGAAAGGCUGACGCAGCGACGCCGCGUGUGGGAUGACGGUCUUCGGAUUGUAAACCACUGUCGGGAGGGACGAAGUUCUGACGGUACCUCCAAAGGAAGAACCGGCUAACUCUGGGCCAGCAGCCGCGGGAAUACAGCGGGUGCGAGCGUUGUCCGGAAUCACUGGGCGUAAAGGGCGCGUAGGCGGCCGGGUAAGUCGGGGGGGAAACGCUGCGGCUCAACCGCAGCACGGCCGUCGAGACUGUCAGGCUGGAGCACGGUAGAGGCUGGUGGAAUUCCCGGUGUAGCGGUGGAAUGCGUAGAGAUCGGGAAGAACAGCGGUGGCGAAGGCGGCCAGCUGGGCCGUUGCUGACGCUGAGGCGCGACAGCGUGGGGAGCAAACAGGAUUAGAUACCCCAGUAGUC
rnacentral:rRNA from 1 species